GUUGUGUGUCGUUAGUCAUUCAAUAAUUUGUUUGAGAGUUGAUUUUUGGAUAGGAAAGAAGAGAAAUAAAAAGUUUGAGAGUCAUCUAACAAAUAUAUUUCAUGGUUCUCAAACAUUUGCAUUUUCUCUCUUAACCUCAACAAACCAACUCGCAAAUAAAUCAUAGAGAGUACAAAGAAAUGAAAAUUUUACAACUUAAAUAAAGAGCAAAUAUAAAAUAAAGUUUAUUGUUACAUAUACCGAGAAUGAUACACUUGCAACUAAUUGAACUUAACUUUGUGAGCAGAAGAGAAAUGCUUUGCUGCAGCAACCAUGGUAGCCUCUGGCCCACUUGCUACUGAAGCUUUGGUACUUGUCUUCACACCUUUACCACAGAAUAAAGAAGUAAAUGAUCUUAAUAUAUCUGAAAACCAGCUUUUCUUAUUGCCCUUGUCACCCAUUUUGUUAACAAAGCCUAUGAUGUUAAGCUCAAAUAGAACCAAUGUGUAUGCUAUUAGUGAUGCGUACUCACUUACAAUUUGUGCUUAAUCUUCUGGGGUUUAGAUAUGCU
rnacentral:lncRNA from 1 species